UUAUUUUGUUUUAACAUGGAGCAUCAACAGAUCUCGGAGCAUGUAAGAUCUGUUGUUUGUCUCGGGGAUCUGCUGGUCGUUCCAUGUUAAACUAAAUAA
rfam:Brassica napus, WGS project CCCW01000000 data, contig: 13867